GCGGCUGUGAUGGAAUUGGUAGACGUGCUAGCUUGAGGGGCUAGUGGGCAAUAGCCCGUGCCGGUUCGAGCCCGGCCAGCCGCA
rnacentral:tRNA from 1 species